rnacentral:rRNA from 1 species
UACGUAUGGAGCAAGCGUUAUCCGGAUUUACUGGGCGUAAAGGGAGCGUAGACGGCGGGGCAAGUCUGAAGUGAAAGGCGGGGGCCCAACCCCCGGACUGCUUUGGAAACUGUAUGGCUGGAGUGCAGGAGAGGUAAGUGGAAUUCCUAGUGUAGCGGUGAAAUGCGUAGAUAUUAGGAGGAACAUCAGAGGCGAAGGCGGCUUACUGGACCAUAACUGACGCUGAGGCUCGAAAGCGUGGGGAGCAAACAGG